CCUUUCCUGCGGUGCUCGUUAUCGUGCCUUGUGGCCCGGCCCGUUUCUAUAUAUGCGGGGGCUGCGCGCUGGAGUGACAUGUCAUGCCUUCACUGGAAGACAGUGCUCCUUCAACGCGGGUUCCCACCUGGUCUCAUGGGAUUCGUGAGCCUUUGGUUGCGGACGGCACAGGCGGGUUUGAA
rnacentral:other from 1 species